rnacentral:rRNA from 1 species
AGAUUGAACGCUGGCGGCAGGCCUAACACAUGCAAGUCGAGCGGUAGAGAGGUGCUUGCAUCUCUUGAGAGCGGCGGACGGGUGAGUAAUGCCUAGGAAUCUGCCUAGUGGUGGGGGAUAACGUUCGGAAACGGACGCUAAUACCGCAUACGUCCUACGGGAGAAAGCGGGGGACCUUCGGGCCUCGCGCCAUUAGAUGAGCCUAGGUCGGAUUAGCUAGUUGGUGAGGUAAUGGCUCACCAAGGCGACGAUCCGUAACUGGUCUGAGAGGAUGAUCAGUCACACUGGAACUGAGACACGGUCCAGACUCCUACGGGAGCAGCAGGUGGGGAAUAUUGGACAAGUGGGACGAAAGCC